rnacentral:rRNA from 1 species
UACGAAGGGGCGAGCGUUGUUCGGAUUUACUGGGCGUAAAGGGCGCGCAGGCGGCUCAUUUUGUCAGGCGUGAAAGCCCCGGGCUUAACCUGGGACUGCGUUUGAUACGGAUGGGCUAGAGUUCGGGAGAGGAGAGUGGAAUUCCCAGUGUAGAGGUGAAAUUCGUAGAUAUUGGGAGGAACACCAGUGGCGAAGGCGGCUCACUGGACCGGUUCUGGACGCUGAUGCGCGAAAGCGUGGGGAGCAAACGGG